AGAUCUCGUUAGAUCACCGAAGUUAAGCAUCAUUGGGCGCGGUCAGUACUUGGGUGGGUGACCACCUGGGAACACUGCGUGCCGUU